ACUGUCUGAAGUCGUCCCCUUCCCCCCGGGUUCAGUUAAAUUUCUCUCGUUACACCCUCUUUAGAGACACCUAACCCUACCUGUCCCUAAAUGCUAAUUCUCGCCGGUCGGUGGCCCCACCCCUAACCCGUCCCAAAUUAGCACCAUAUGACCCUGAACCUCUUUUCUUCAAAAAUCCAGAAACACUUGCCCUCGAAUCCCCCUACAGCUCUUCAAAUUUUAAAUCUAAGUUGAAGAGCCAAACGCUAAAAUUCCAAAACUCUCAAAUCGAGAUUUCAGUAAAGGAUUAGGGUCAAAAUUGACGUUAUUCGUGUGUUUCCAACGCGAACACACGAUUAAUAUCAAUCUUUGUCAAAAAGUCUAAAGGUCUUGAGGACAAUUGAUGUUCUUUGCCCAUCUGCCUAUGUGUAGGUAUUUUUUUUGGCCAUCCUCUUUUUCUUACUUUAUCUUAUUUCUGUUCUCACUAAUCUCUUCUAUUUUUUUUUGUUUUUUUUCCCGUUCCACAAACCCUUCUGCUAUGCAUGAUAAUGUUUAAGCUUGUUGUAGUCCACAUUUUGUUUCCUUUUUAUUUUUUUUCUUUCUCACUACUAUUCUCUUUCGAAUUAGUUUUCUUUCCAUGUUAAUAAUUUAUAACUUGUUAGUUUAUGUUUGUUUUUAAUUUUUGUGUUACUUCCAAUUAAUCCAUGCUUUUGUUUAUUACAUUUUCUUUUAAGGAAAAUAACACUGAUUUUGCGUAUUCUAUUUAGUCUAUUAUUCUAUGGGUUUUGAGUAUAAUUUAUGCUUGGGCUAUGCAAAUCAGAAGCCCAAAGGAAAGGGGAUUAGCUCUGGUCUUGCAAGCCAUGUCAGUUUAACCUUGGGUUUUUGACCCUGUUGGUUCUUGAAGUAAAAACAGGGAGUUUAAGGGUUAGUUUAGGAAAUUUAGACUAUGGAAUCUAUUGUAACUGAUGUGACGACCCCACCAGUCUUCUUAAGGAUUAAUGUCUUGAUCCUCUAUUAACUACUUUACUCAAGUUUAAUUCUGCUAAUUUAAUUUGCGGAGAUGCUCUAUUUUGAGUUUCGGAGAGUUUUGCGGCAUUUAGACCCUAAAUGAGAAUUUAAGUAUUGGAAACUCUACGGUAGUCGGAAUAGUGAGAAGAUGACCUCAGAAUGGAAAUCUGAUGGUUCAGUUAGCUUCAUUGGGUGAUUUUGGUGUUAGGAGAGUGUUCAGAUAAUGUUUUGGAGGUCCGUAGCUGAUUUAAGCUCGAAAUGCCGAAAGUUGAAUUUUAGAAGUCUCCGGUCCGAUAGCGAAAUUUUGAUUCAAAGGCUGGAAUGGAAUUCCUAGAGUUGCACCAACUCCAUCAUGUCAUUUUGGAUGUGUGUAAAAUUUUGAUUAUUCGAAGAUGGUCUAGUUUGAUUUUUGAUUGAAAGCAUUUUUUGAGAAAAGUUGAGUUCUUAUGCUUAAAUGCUUGAUUAAUUCGAGUUUCUAAUGUUAUUUUAGGUGGUUUAAUGAUUGGUACAAGUUUGAAUGAGGUAUUAGGUGUUAUUGGUGCUUCUGGUUGAGGUCCCGAGAGCAUCGGUAUGAUUUCAGAUGGUUGACGGGAGGGUUGAAGAAGUGUGCAACAAUUGUAGCAUUUGUUGCUUCUAGUAUUUUUGCAUAUGGGGGCUGGGAACCACAGAUGCAGUGCAACAGAAGUGGCUUUGGUCCAUUCCUUCAGAAAUCGCAAAUGCGGUGUGAGGUCCACAGAAGCGGACCCAUAUGAGUGGUUAGAGGUCUGCAGAUGCAAAAAUUGGACUUUUAAGUGUGGGUCGCAGAUGUGACAUUUGGUUCGCAGAAGUGAGACCGCAGAUGCGGUCCCAGGGCCGCAAAUGAGGUCCCAGGGCCGCAAAUGCGGAAGUAGCUGGGCAGAUCAUAUAAAUAGUUGCCUUUGUGAAAAUUGGCUAUUCUUCAACCAUUUUUAUUCGGAUUUGAAGCGUCUAAGAGAAAUUUUUGGGGAAAUCAAAGGGAAAUUACUUGGAGGUAAUGUCCUUGACUUCAUAAUUCGUUUUUAUGUGAUUAAAUACCUUAUUAGUGGUGAGAAAUUUGAGAAAAAUGAGUAAUCAAUGUUUGAAUUUAAGAGGCCUUAAAAUGAGGAUUUUAAGGGUCAUUUGGACUCUGAUUUUUGUGUUCUUCUUAUGAAUAGAUCGUGAGAGUAUGAGGUUUAUGAAAAUAUAAAUUUCACCCGAUUCCUAAAUUUUGGCCUGAGGGGCAUUUUGGUCAUUUUUCAUUAUUUUGCAUAUAACUUAGAAUUGAUUAAAACGUCAAUUAUUUGAGGUGUUAUUUGCAAUAUGCAAUUGAAUUGAAUAGAUUUGGGCCCUUUGGAGUCGCAUACUCGAGGCAAAUGCGUGGUUUCUACAUGAUUUUGAGAAGCUUCGAGGUAAGUUGCUUGUCUAUCCUUGUGUUGGAGACUUUUUCCCUUUGUGAUAUUUGGUAAUUGAAUUGCCUUGUGAGCUAGGUGACGAGCAUUUAAUUGUGCAAAUUGUUGGAAAUACAAUUUUUCUUAGAGUACUUAUUCGCGUGUUUCCUUUCCUGCUUUAUUACACUUGCAAAUUUAGCAUGUUUCUAGUUAGAAAGGCAUGUUUAGUUGACUUAAAUUUCUUACUUGCUUAAAUUGCCUUAUUUGAAUUAUGUGAAGCAUGUUAAGCUAGUAAUACUUGUUUCCUUGAUAUGAAAUUCCAUUUUUUGAAUACUUCUUGAUAUUACUGUGUAUUUACAUUGAGACUACGGAUGUGGGAUUCUGGUAGAUUCCUCUUGUCUGUUUACUUUGGGAAUACGGGUUUGGAUCCUAAUAGAUCACCUUGUGCAUUUACUUUGGGACUGCGGGCUAGAUUCCCAAUAGAUCCCCCUACAUAGUUACAUGGAACUACGGGAAUGCACCAGGUAGAUUCCCUCAGUAUGGGUAUUUACAUUUAGUACUAUGGACUGGGGUUCUGGUAGAUCCCCGCGCAUUGAUAAUUGGACUAGGGGAUGUUAUCCGGGGAGAUCUAAUGGGAAGUUUAUGAAUAGGACUACAGGAUGGUAUCCUAGGAGAUCCUCGUGUUACUAUUGGUAUUAAGCUGUUCUAAUUAUGAGUUUACUCUGCUCUUUUGUAAAAUUGUUGCCUGGUAUAACCUGUCUUAUUCCACUGCUGUUCUCAUUAUAUUGUUUAUUUCAUACUGUUGAAAUGUAUUAUUAUGUUUACCCUCAGUAGGGCACUGACCUUCCUCAUCACUAUCCGACCGAAGUUAGGCUUGGCACUUACUGAGUACCGCUGUGGUGUACCAUGCACCUUCUGCGCAUGUUUUUCAUGUGGAUAUCUAGGUACCUUGACCUAGCCGUAUCACCCUUAAGAUUGAGAGAUCUAGCAUAGAUUUCAAGGUAUAUCUGCUGCGUCCGCAGACCAAGGAGUCUCUAUCUUAUUCCAUCUUUUAUCAGUUAACCUUCCUUCUUAUUGUUGUUUUAGACAUUCCGGAGAUAGAGCAUUAUAAUAUAUUUCGUUUAGCUUGCGUUCACAUGAGUUUUCGGGUUUUGGGAUAAUAUUUUAGUUUUCCGUGAUGUUGAGUUGUUUAUGCCGAGCGAUAUUUAUAUAUAGUUUUCCUCUAGUUGUUCAAAUUUGAAUUAUUUAUUUAUGCAAGUUAUUUGUUUCAUGAAUGUUAGGCUUACAUUGUUGUAGAGACAAGUUGCCGUGCUGACAUGUUCACGGAAGACGAACUAGGGUCGUGACACGUUGGUAUCAAAGCUCUAGUUUCAUAGGGGUCACAGAACACAGGCCGGUUUAUUAUAUUCUCGCUAAUCGAUGCGGAGACGUCUGUACUUAUCUACUAGAGUCUAUGUAUUUUCUAGGAAAAUUCCACUUCAUUUGAUUUCCUGGUCGUGUGAGAUUUUGAUAUCACAAAUAUAAUUCCACCUUUCUGUUCUCUCACAAUGUGUGAGGACACGUUCAUGAUCAGGCACUCGCGCCCCCUACAACAGCCGUUAGAGGCGGGCCGGGGGUAGGGUGCUCGUGUGAUGCUGCCAAUGCACUUGCGCGAGCUGCCGCCGAGGUACCACCUGUAGAUCCGGCCUGAGUCCAGGCACCUGACACGCCUACUGCUACUGCUACAACUAAACCAGAUCUCCAGGAGACUUUGGCACAGUUCAUGAGUAUGCACACCACUUUGGCUUAGGCAGAGUUGGUUCCUCUUGCUCCAACCACAUCACAGAUUGGGGGAGGAGCAUAGACUCUCGCCGCCCGCACUCCUGAGCAGUGAGUGUCUAUUGAGUAGGUUGCCGAGAUUAUGCCAGUACCUACUGCAAUACCUAUUCAGCCCGAGGACAGGAUUGCGGUUUCCGAGGAUGAGCAGUUGAGUCUUGAGAGGUCAAGAAGUACUAGCCUCCUAUAUUUAGUGGUCUAGCAUCAGAGGAUGCUUUGGAUUUUCUUGAUGAGUGUUACCGCAUCCUAUAUACCAUUGGUAUUUCAGGAUCCUGCGAGCUUUCUUCGAGGGAUCGCCUAUGAGUGGUGGCGCAUCUAUGAGUUAAAAAGUCCAGACGAGGCUAGUUCAUCAAUUUGGGCUCAGUUUUUAGAUCUGUCCCGAGAGUAUGUUCCUCAGAGCCUUAGGGACACAUGGCACGCAGAGUUUGAGUAUUUGCGCCAAGGUUCCAUGACUGUUUCAAAUUAUGUUGUACGUUACACUCAUUUAGCUAGGCAUGAACCAGCUUGGUUACUACUGUUCGUGUGAGGGUCCGCCGAUUUAUUGAGGGGCUUAUUCCCAACAUCAGAUCCUACAUGGCUCGUGAGUUGGAGAUGGAUAUUUCUUAUCACCUAGCGGUUAGAAUUACUAGGAGGAUUUAGUGUGUGAAUACUAGGGAGAGAGAGGAGAGGGAGGCCAAGAGGUCUCGAGAGUCGGGCCAUUAUUCUGGCGCCCGUACCCUAUCUAAAUGUCAUCAUGCUAGGAGUUAUGUGAGUCACCCAAUUCACUUAGCUGGUCCAGUAGCUAACAGUGCUCCACUCCUCCUAAGCCUCAGGUGCCUUAUUAUACACGUUUGAUUCCUAGCGCUCCUCCUGCGCAGGGUGCUUCUAGAGGUCAGUCCUGUAGACCUGGCCCUAGCCAGUCAUAGUCACCCUGUCCUUCCAAAGCUUGUUUAGAGUGUGGUGACAUAGGCUAUAUGGUGAGGGAUUGCCCCAAACUUUGGAAGGGUAUACCUUUAUAUAUUUUUCAGCCACCACGUGCCCCAUAAAAUUCUCGGGCGAUGGUUCCAGCUCCAUUUGCUAUUCCACCUACUCAGUCAUCUAGAGGGGAAGGCUAGGCUAGAUACUAUACCAUGCUUUCCCAUACCGAGGCUGUUGCCUCUUAUUCUGUCAUCACAUGUAUUAUAUUGGUUUGUCACAGAGAUGCAUCAAUUUUAUUCGAUCCAGGUUCUACUUACUCUUUUGUGUCUUCUUAUUUUGCUCCGCAUUUGGGUGUACCCCGAGAUUACUUGAGUUCUCAUAAGUAUGUUUUUACUCAUUUGGGGCAUUUUCUUGUUGUGGACCGUGUUCAUUGGUCAUGUUUGGUUACCAUUCGUGGUUUUGAGAACAGAGAAGACUUAUCCUACUCAGCAUGGUUGAUUUGAUAUUAUCUUGGGCAUGGACUAGUUGUCACCACAUUAUUCUCUUCUUAACUGUCACCCCAAGACUGUGACACUGGCUAUACCAGGUGUAUCACGUAUGAUUUGAAGAAUGCCUUAGCUCACACUCCCAGUAGAGUUAUUUCUUUCCUUAAGGCUUAUCGUAUGGUUGAGAAAUGUUGUGAUGCGUACUUAGCAUACGUGAGAGAUGCCAAUAUGGAUAAUCUUUUUGUUGAUUCAGUUCCAGUAGUACGGGAUUUCCCUGAUGUGUUUCCAGCUGAUAUUCCGGGCAUGCCACCUGAUAUGGACAUUGAAUUUGGAAUAUAUCUAUUACCAGGCACUCAACCCAUUUCUAUCCUUUGGUAAUGUAUGGCUCCUGUUGAGUUGAAAGAGUUGAAGGAGAAAUUGCAUGAAUUACUUGAUAAGGGUUUUAUUCAGCCUAGUGUUUCACCUUGGGGUGCUCCUGUCUUGUUUGUGAAGAAAAAAGAUGGUUCUAUGCAUAUGUGUAUUGAUUAUCGCUAGUUGAACAACGUUAUAGUGAAAAACCAUUAUCCUUUGCCUCAUAUUGAUGAUCUGUUUGAUAAGCUCUAAGGUGACUGGUGGUUUCUAAGAUUGAUUUGCGCUCAGGUUACCAUCAGUUAAAGAUUCAGGAGCUAGAUAUCCCAAAGGCUACUUUCACGACUAAGUACGGUCAUUACAAUUUUCUUGUUAUGUUAUUUGGGCUGACCAAUGCCCCAACAGCCUACAUGCAUUUGGUGCACAUCGUAUUCUAUCCAUAUAUAAACUCUUUUGUCAUUAUCUUUAUUGAUGACAUUCUGGUGUAUUUCUGGAGUCAGGAAGAUCAUGAGCAGCAUUUGAGGACAGUGCUUUAGACUCUAAAAUAAAAGAAAUCAUAUGCGAAUUUUUCAAAAUGUGAGUUUUGGUUGGAUUCCAUAGUAAUUUUAGGCUAUGUGGUAUCAGGUGAGGGUAUUUAGGUAGAUCCAAAGAAGUUAGGGGCCGUGCAGAGUUUGUGUCAGGCCGGCCUCCGCUAUUGAUAUUUGUAAUUUCCUUUGCUUAGCGGGCUACUACCGUCAUUUUGUGGAGGUGUUUUAAUAGAUUGCAUCCCUUAUAACUAGAUUGACCCAAAUUGGUGCUUAUUUCAGUGGAUAGAGGAGUGUGAAGCAAGAUUUCAGAAGCUCAAAACAACUUUGACUACAACCCCACUUUUGGUAUUUCCUACUGCUUCGGGGUCUUAUACAGUCUAUUAUGAUGCCACGAGAGUUGGCUUCGGAGCACUGUAUAUGCAGGAUGGUAGGGUGAUUGCCUACGCGUCUAGAUAGUUGAAGAUACAUGAGAAAAAUUAUCUUGUCCAUGAUCUCGAGUUUUCUUCCAUUGUUCACGCCAUGAAAAUUUGGCGAUAUUAUUUACACGGGGUUUCCUAUGAGAUUUAUACUAAUAAUCAGAGCUUGUAGCAUUUGCUCAAGCAAAAGGAUAUGAAUUUGUGCCAAAGAAGGUGGUUAGAGUUGCUGAAGGAUUAUGACGUCACUAUUUUAUAUCACUCGGGCAAUGGCAAUGUAUAGGAUGAUGCCUUGAGUCUCCGGGUGAAACGUUUAGGGAUUUUGGCAUAUUUACCUUUGUCGAAGAGGCCUAUGGCGGUAGAUGUUCAGGACUUAGCCAACUAGUUUGUGAGAUUGGAUCUUUCGAAGCCUAGUCGUGUUAUAGCUUGUGUCGUUUCUCGAUCUUCAUUAUUUGAUCGUAUUAGGGAGCGGCGGUAUGAUGACCCUCAUUUGAUUGACCUUAAGGACAGGGUUCAGCAUUGUGAUGCCAAAUAUAUGACCAUUGGCUACGAGAGCUGAUUCUAGAGGAGGCCCAUAGUUCACGACAUUCUAUUCAUCCGAGUGCCGUGAAGAUGUAUCAGGACUUUAGGCAGCACUAUUGGUGAAGGAGAAUGAAGAAAGAUAUAGUUGGGUUUGUGGCUCAGUGCCUCAAUUGUCAGUAGGUGAAGUAUGAGAACUAGAGAUUGGGUGGAUUACUUCACUAGAUAGAGAUUCCGAAGUGGAAGUGGGAGUGUGUCACCACAAAUUUUAUACCUGGACUCCCACGGACUUUGAAGAAGUUCAAUUCCAUUUGUGUUAUUGUGGAUCGGCUGACCAAGUUCGCUAAUUAAAUUUCGAUAUGUAUCACUUAUUAUUCAGAGUAGUUGGCGGAGAUUUAUGUCCGAGAGAUCGUUCAUCUAGAUGGUAUUUCAGUUUCUAUUAUUUCAGACAGAGGUACUCAGUUCACAUCACAGUUCUAGAGGAUCGUUCAAUAGUAUAUGGGUACUAGGGUGAAGUUGAGCACACCAUUUCACCCCGGACGGACAGGCAGUCUAGCUCACUAUUCAGAUUCUUGAGGAUAUACUUCGUACGUGUGUGAUUGAGUUUGGAGGGUCUUGGGAUAAACUCUUUCCAUUGGCGGAGUUUUCUUACAACAUUAGCUAUUAGUCCAACAUUCAUAUUGCACCAUAUGAGGCUUUGUAUUGUAGGUGGUGUAGAUAUACGAUGGGUAAGUUUGAUCCGGUUGAGGCCAGGCUAUUGGGCACAUAUUUGGUUUAGGAUUCUUUGGACAAGGCUAAGGUAAUUCAGCAUAGACUCCACACAGACCACUCCAGGUAUAACAGCUACGCGGAUCGGAAGGUUCGUGAUGUUUUCUUUAUGGUUGGAGAUCGGGUUCUGCGUCGAGUUUCGCCUAUGAAGGGCAUUAACAGAUUUGGGAAGAAAGGGUAGCUGAGUCUGAGGUUUAUUCGCCCUUUUGAGAUAUUGCGAUAAGUUGGGAGGUUGCUUAUCAGCUUGACUUACCUCCCAGCCUUGUAGGAGUUCAUUCGGUAUUUCAUGUUUUGAUGCUUCAGAGGUAUUUCGGCAAUCCGUCGCAUAUGUUGGAUGUCAGCUCAGUCCAAUUGGACAAGGAACUAUCUUAUGUCGAUGAGCCAAUUGCUAUAUUGGACUGGCAAGUAAGAAAGUUGAGGUCAAAGAACAGUUUUUAAGUAAAGGUUCAGUGGCAGGGUCAGCCGGUAGAGGCAGUAAUUGGGAAAUCGAGCAGGAUAUCUGCAACCGUUACUCUCAUUUUUUCUCUACUUCAGGUAUGUCUCUAUGCUCGAUCAAGGAAGAACGAAUGUUUAAGUGUAGGAGGAUGUCACGACCCGGUCGAUUGCCUUAAGAAUUAACACCCUGAUCCCGUAUUAACUGCUUUCCCCAAGUUUAUUUCUACUAAUUUGAUUUGCUGGGACGCUCGAUUUUGAGUUUUCGAGAGUUUUGGAAAAAUUAGUCCCUAAUUAAGAGCUUAAGUAUUGAAAAGUUGAUAAUAGUCUUAAAAGUGAGAGGACGACCUCAGAACGGAAAUUCGUUGGUUCUGUUAGCUUUGUUGGGUGAUUCUGCGGGUAGGAGCAUGUUCAGAUAGUGUUUUGGAGGUCCGUAGCUGAUUUAGACUUGAAAUGCCGAACGUUGAACUUCGGAAGUUUCUAAUCUAAUAGUAAGAUUUUGAUCUGAGGGCCGGAAUGGAGCUUAGAGAGUUGAAGCACCUCCGUUAUGUUAUUUGAGAUGUGUGUGUCAAAUUUCGGGUUAUUCGGAGAUGGUUUGGUUAGGUUUUUGAUCGAAAGCGUAUUUUGAGGAAAUUGGAGUUCUUAGGCUUAAAUUCUUUCUUAGGUGUUAUAAGUGAUUUUGGUUGAGGUCCCAGGGGCCUCGGAUAAUUUCUGAUGGUUGACCAGGGGGGUGGGGGGAUGAAAAAGUAUUGCAGUUGCCGUAUCAUUUGCUGCUUCUGGUAUUUUUGCAUUUGUGGCUUGGGAACCGCAGAUGCGGCGCCACAGAAAUGGCUAAAGGGCCGCAGAAGCGGCAUUGGGCUAUUCCUCUAGAAUCUGUACAUACGGUGUGAGGCCCACAGAAGUGGAAAUGCAGGAGCGGUUAGAGGUCCGCAGAUGCUGAAAUUGGACUUUUAAGUGUGGGUCACAGAUGCGUCAUUUGGUUUGCAGAAGCAGGACCGUAUCGCAAAUGCUGAAGUAGCAAGGCAGAUCAUACAAAUAGUUGCCUUUUCGAAAAUUGGCUAUUCUUCCACCAUUUUUGUCCGGGUUCGAAGCUUUUAAGAGGAAUUUUUGAAGAAAUCAAAUGGGAAUGACUUGGAGGUAACGUACUUGACUUCAAACUCGUUUUUUAUGUGAUUAAAUACCUAAGUAGUGGUGAGAAAUUUGGAAAAAAAUGAGUAAUUAAGGUUUGAGUUUAAGAGGCCUUUAAACGAGGAUUUGAGGGAUAAUUUGGACUCUGAUUUUUGUGUCUUUAUUAUGCAUAGACUCGUGAGAGUGAGGUUUUCAAAAAUAUAAAUUUUACCCGAUUCAGAGAUGUUUGGUUGAGGGGAAUUUUUUUCAUUUUACAUAAUUUUGCGUAUUAGCUUAGAAUUUAAAUAUAGAAUAAGUUAUUUGAGGUGCUUUUUAACAAUAUGCAAUUGAGUUGAGUAGAUUUGGGCCAUUUUGAGUAGGAUACUUGUGGCAAAAUCGUAGUUUUUAGUUGUUUUUGAGCUGGUUCGAGAUAACUGGCUUGUCUAACCUUGUGUGGGGGACUUUUCCACUUAGGAUAUGAUCUUUGGCAAAUGAAUUGCCUUGUGUGCAAGGUGACGAGUGCGUCCUUGUGCAAAUUGUUGGAAAUAUGAUUUUUCUUAAAGUACUUAUUAGCAUGUUUCCCUUCCCGCUUUAUUACACUUGCAAACUUAGCAUAUUGCUACUUAGAAGAGCAUGUUUAAUUGACUUAUAUUACCUAUUUGUUUAAAUUUCCUUUUUGCAUUAUCUGAAGCAUGUUAGGCUAGGAUUACUUGCUGCCUUGCUCUGAAAUUCCCUUUUUUGUAUAUCUUAUUGCUGUUGCUGUGUAUUUACAUUGGGACUACAGUUGUGGGAUUCUGGGAGCACCCCUUUAUCGGUUUACUUUGGGUCUACGGGUUAGAUUACGGAUAGACCCCCCUGUGCAUUUAUUUUAGGACUGAGAGUUAGAUUCCUGAUAGAUCCCCCUGCACAGUUAUAUGGAACUACAAGAAUGCACCCAGUAGAUUCCCCUAGUACUGGGUAUUUACAUUUGAGACUACGAACCAGUGUUCUAAUAGACCCCCACGCAUUGAUAAUUGGACUAAUGGAUGGUAUCCUGGGAGAUCCACUGGACCGUUGAUGAAAGGGACUGCAUCAUAUCCUUUAAUACUAUUGGUAUUGAGCUGUUCUGUUCUGAGUUUACUCAGCUCUUUUGUAAAAUUGUAGUUGCCUGGUAUAACCUGCCUUAUUUCAUUUUUGUUCUCAUUAUAUUGGUUAUUUCAUACUGUUGAAACUUAUUAUUAUGUUUACCCUCAGUGGGGCCCUGACGUUCCUCGUCACCACCCGACCGAGGUUUGGCUUGGCACUUACUGAGUACCGUUGUGGUGUACUCAUGACCCUUCUGCGCAUGUUUUUUGUGGGGAGAUCAAGGUACCUCUCCCCAUGCGUAUCACCCUUGAGACAGAUAGAUCUAGCAGAGACUUCGAGGUAUAUCUGCCACAUCCGCACACCAAGGAGUCUAUAUCUUAUUCUAUAUUUGAGUAGUUAGCCUUCCUUCUUAUUGUUGUUUUAGACAUUCUAGAGUUAGAGCAUUGUAAUACAUUUUACUUUAGCUUGUGUUCCCGUGAGUUUUCGGAUUUUUGAAUAAUAUUGUAGGUUUUCGUAAUGUUGAGUUGUUUAUGCCGAGCGACAUUUAUAUACCAUUUUUCUCUAGUUGUUCAAAUUUGAAUUCUAAACUCCUAGCUUAUUUCCUUUGUUAUUUUUUGUAUUCAGGUAUUUUUUCAACAGUGGACAGCAUAUAGGAUGUAAACAUUCAAUAAAUGUGAAGGAGGAUGAAUAAAAUUUCUUCUUGCUGGCAUCUUAUUUUGUUUUCUUUUUUUUCUUUUUUAAAUCCCAUUGGUGAUGUGUAAUAACAUAACUUUUAUGUGUAUUUCUACUGUUCUUUGAUGUAGUGACAUGGUAUUAUGCAUUUAAGAUUUGGGGUUAAGGCUACAACGUCUCUUACUAUGUAGUAGAAACAAUUUUACCUAUUUUAGAAUAUGGAAAAUACGUAGGAUUCAGUUGUUGGCAUUGGGUUUAAGUCAUG
rnacentral:lncRNA from 1 species